UUAUACAAAACCGGGAGACAUUGACCCUACAUCAGUAGCAAGUCCCAAAGAUCCAGAAGAUAUACCAACAUUUGAUGAAUGGAAGAAGAAAGUUAUGGAAGUAGAAAAAGAAAAAAGUCAGUCAAUGCAUGCAUCUUCUAAUGGAGGUUCACAUGCCACCAAAAAGGUCCAGAAAAAUCGAAAUAAUUAUGCCUCAGUAGAAUGUGGUGCCAAAAUUCUAGCAGCUAAUCCAGAAGCCAAGGUAGGUGCUUAAAUAUAAAAUUUUGUAUAUAUAGGAAAUUAACGACUUUUUAAAAUAUAGGCAUUUGUUUCCUGGGAACUAUAUUUUAAUGUGAGAUAUUUUCCUUAUUCACUAAUAAAAGUAGAAUAUGCUUUUCAAAACAUUAUCUUGUAUGAAUUCUUAUUUAUAUUGGCUGAUGUAUUUUACCCUGCAUUUUUUAACUUUUAAAACCCGUAUGAAAUUUUAAAAAGGAAAUAACUAAAAUAUUAUUUUUUUCUUUAAAGUAACAGGCAUUGAAUUUUAAAUGUAUCAUUGUAACACUAAUUUAAUGCUGUUGCCGUGAAUGGUGAAUCUUAGCCACU
rnacentral:sRNA from 1 species